CACCAUGCCCUCCGCCCCAAAUCGUGGCCAUCCCCGCCGAGCCCCCACCCCGGCCGCCUGCGCCUAGCCCUGCACGCCGCCCGCCUCCCCCACCCCACGGCCACGAUCGAGCGCCCCUCCUCCCCGGUGGCUCGCCUCCCCAUGGAUCUCGUUGCGCCCGUCCUUGCCUUGGUGGGCACCCGCGCGCGGCCCAGCACGUGGCAGUGACGGCGGUUGGGUCGCCCCCGUUCAGCUGCGGCGCGGGGCAGCGGGGCCGGUCGGUGGCAGCGGAGGAGGCUGCCGCGCCCAUGGCGGCAGCGGGAAGAGGAGCAGCUCGGGCCGGCCGUACCUCUCCCUUCCCAAUCCCCCCACUGCCGGCGUAGUGGUGCAAGGGCUCGGCGUCCACGUACCUCACUGCCGGCGAGAUCUCCGUCCUCGUCACGCUCGCCCUCGAGCUCGUGGCUGCCGGCUCUUCACCCGGGCUCCUGCGGCCCCGCUCCUCCCUCCUCUGCAAGGCGGCGGCGGGGCGUCAUGCACUUCUACAACUCUGACAGCUUCCCUGUUGCGUGGCGCCUCCGCGUCUUCCUCCUCUACAAGGCGGCGACGCUCCUCCACUUCACGCCCUCCAAGGUGGCCCGCUCGGCCGCCGAUCCGGAGGUCUGCAAGACCCCGUCCUCGCCGCCUGCCAUUCAACUUCUGCUGCCGUGCUACAAUGAUGGAGGGACAUCGAGCAGGUCACCGCAAGUGCCAGGUCUUGACCAAUUUGUUCCAUCUACAGUACGGUUAAGAUAAGCUAUUUAGCUGACACACAAUGACUUUUAUUCAAUCAGUCAUAUGAAUCUUCCUUUACUCAUAAUGCUGGUGAUUUCGGAUCUAUACUUCGGUUGGCUGAUUAUUGCUUUGCAGGAUAAACUACUUUUGAUGUCUAAAUCGAUUGUGAUGUUUAGCUCACUGUUUUGGUUGGCUGAUUAUUGCGUCUCCCGAUAGAUUGCGCUUACUUGCGGGAGCCAGAUGUGACAUAUGUGAUGAAGAGCUUUUGCUUUGUGUGUGCUUAUUGGAGUUCGCGUGCUAUAUCAGUCCCUGAAUUUGCCAAAAGUGCUUUUUGGAUGGAAGUGGUUUAAUUCUGAAUAUUAAUAUCCUCUAACUAUAUAUUCGCUUUGUUGCUUCCUGACUUGGGUACCUGCUCGGGGACAGUGAGGGAUUCGUUCAGCUUGUCUUCUCGUAGUCACUGAGUCACAGGUCAGGUUUUUUCAGAAGAGGUGUGUUAUCUUGUUGGAUUGGAUUUCUUCUUCCGAAGAGAAAAGAUGAAACUAAAAAGGUUAGUGGCUCAGUGCUGCCCUCUAUCCGUGAUUUGAAGGGUUGACAUGCAGGAAGUCUCAUCAGGUGUUUACUGGGUAAAUCUCAUCAGGUGUUUCUGAAUUUGGUUGAAUUAAUUUGGAUGUACAAAUUAUUUCGAAGUUGAUCUAUAUGGCUUCUGAAUUCAGUAGGGCACAAACCAGGAUGGUGCUUCACUUUCUUUGGUGUUUAAUAUUAAGUUUAAUAGAGUUCUAGCUACAUUUUCUUUGAGUAUUCGAAUGAUACUUAAUGUUCCAGCUUGUUGCCGUAUUCCACCAGUAGAAAAUAGGAGGGACUAAAACAUAUGCUUGAAAUUAUCAUCUAUGCUCAAUUUCUGUAAGAAUUUGCUUAUCUGGGAGAUGAUUAAUUUCAAGGUUGGUUUGCUCAUGAGAUUGCUAGAGCAUGGUACCAUUUCAGGCAAGCUAAUGCAUGUUCAUAUUGCAUUCUCUAAUUAUCUUCUUACCUUUUGGAUUUCUUACAGGUCAGGAUCAGUUUGGAACUUACAUGGGAGAUGCUGAAUAUCACUCUAUCUUUCUAAGCCAAAAUUAUUUUUAUUUUGCUGGGGAUCCAUUUGUAGUGGCUAAAAGGUGUACAUUUGGUCAGUGCUUCACAUACCAGACGAUUGGAGAUUCCUCUAUUGUGCUGUCGAAGCCCUUUCUGGUUCCACACCGGAAGGUUAAUACUAUGUUUCCUCAAUUCUAUGGCCCUUGCUCUCCCUUGGAUCUACUUCUUCCGCUGCCCUGUGCAGUGGAGCUGAUCUAUGCAGACGGCAGCUGAGAUCGGUGAUGCUUCAGCUACUCAGCCAGCAUCUGCCCAUCUGUGUUUCCUUGCUAUGGCAACACGUUCUCAUCAACCAGGUGCUUAAUUAGAGGCUGCAAUGGAAACCAUGUCUGAAUGAUUGCUUGGGACAGUACCAUAGCAUAAGCUUUGUACAUGCAACCAUCGCAAAUCAACCAUAGGCUGCAGCUAGCUGAUGUGUUUAGGCUCUUGUGGUAAUGCAGCUAGCCCUGUGACGAUGCGGCAGAGAAGCACACCCAGCACGGAUGGGAGCAGCCCUCCAGCCAUUCGAUGAGAUGCCUAAUGAACCAUGAGUUCAUGAGACUAAAAACAAUGAAGAAUGAAUUGUGUUAGAUUUUUUGGUACAUUUAAAUUUACCAUCUCAGUUAUUACUGCUCAUUUCUGAAUACGUUAAUUUGAAACAUCACUUGCAGUUGAUGCUUUCGGUUGAUUACUACUCCAACAAAGAAGAAAACAAACACCCUUUUACAAAGAUAAAUGCUACUACAGAUUUUAGCACAUGUAGUAGUUUACACUCACUUGAUGUGCAUGGAUAGCACCAAAUGAGUUCAUGAAUACUUCGGCAAGUUCGAUCCCAAGCUGUUGGAGAGCUCAGAGCCCGAUGCCAUCCACAAGCUCAUCGUCCCGGUACAGGAACAAGAUGGAGUUCUCGCUUGGGACAAAGAGAUGGAUGCAAAGGGAGUGGAAGGAGAAGGAGGAAGUAAACAAGGCUGACGAGAUAUUCCCCAUAACAUUUGAUUAACUCCUGAUCAGUUUUUUUUUAGGCUAUGAACAAUAGCUAUCUGUUGUGCUGCUGGAAAUGAAAGAAACCUAAGGUUGAGGGUAUACAGCUUUGAGUGGAUCAGAUUUUAUAGAAGAAAAAACUUAAGGUAAAGUUUUUUCCUGGUUUCUGCUUGAUCGAGAUAGAAGAUGGUAGCAGUAAGCAGUGUGCUACUGGAUAAGAACAGAGCCAAGCAAAGAGCUAGGUUGCUUCUUGCUAUGUGCUACAUGGGUCUCUUAAAAAAAUAUCAUAAUAAUGCUUUGGCAGAGUAGGACAGGUGCAUUCUCUUAUGGGAGUGACCAUCUGUGAGCUAGAUAUUAGUUGUAUCUCUACUUUUGAUUGCAUAAUGACCUGUUUUGCUUCCGAGGCCUAUUAGAAGGGAGGUGAUUAUAAAUAAAUAUUUAAAUAUAUGCCUCUGAUCUGAUGUAAUAACUAAGACAUGGCCUAAUCAUCGAUGCUCAUAUAACUCCAA